UACGAAGGGGGCUAGCGUUGUUCGGAAUUACUGGGCGUAAAGCGCACGUAGGCGGAUCCUUAAGUCGGUGGUGAAAUCCUGAAGCUCAACUUCAGAACUGCCUUCGAUACUGGGGACCUUGAGCUCGGGAGAGGUGAGUGGAACUGCGAGUGUAGAGGUGAAAUUCGUAGAUAUUCGCAAGAACACCAGUGGCGAAGGCGGCUCACUGGCCCGAUACUGACGCUGAGGUGCGAAAGCGUGGGGAGCAAACAGG
rnacentral:rRNA from 1 species